rnacentral:rRNA from 1 species
AGGACGAACGCUGGCGGCGCGCUUAACACAUGCAAGUCGAGCGGUAAGGCCUUUCGGGGUACACGAGCGGCGAACGGGUGAGUAACACGUGGGUGAUCUGCCCUGCACUUCGGGAUAAGCCUGGGAAACUGGGUCUAAUACCGGAUAUGACUUCAGGUUGCAUGACUUGGGGUGGAAAGAUUUAUCGGUGCAGGAUGGGCCCGCGGCCUAUCAGCUUGUUGGUGGGGUAAUGGCCUACCAAGGCGACGACGGGUAGCCGACCUGAGAGGGUGACCGGCCACACUGGGACUGAGACACGGCCCAGACUCCUACGGGAGGCAGCAGUGGGGAAUAUUGGACAAUGGGCGAAAGCCUGAUCCAGCAAUGCCGCGUGAGUGAUGAAGGCCUUAGGGUGUAAAGCUCUUUUACCCGGAAGAUAAUGACUGUACCGGAGAAUAAGCUCCGGCUAACGUCCGCGCCAGCAGCCGC